CCUACGGGUGGUUGCAGUGAGGAAUAUUGGUCAAUGGGCGAGAGCCUGAACCAGCCAAGUCGCGUGAGGGAAGACGGUCCUAUGGAUUGUAAACCUCUUUUGUCGGGGAGCAAAAAGGCCUCGUGAGGCCACAAGUGAGAGUACCCGAAGAAAAAGCAUCGGCUAACUCCGUGCCAGCAGCCGCGGUAAUACGGAGGAUGCGAGCUUUAUCCGGAUUUAUUGGGUUUAAAGGGUGCGUAGGCGGAUUUUUAAGUCAGCGGUAAAAUGUCCGGGCUCAACCCGGGCCGGCCGUUGAAACUGGGGAUCUUGAGUGGGCGAGAAGUAUGCGGAAGGCGUGGUGUAGCGGUGAAAUGCAUAGAUAUCACGCAGAACGCCGAUUGCGAAGGCAGCAUACCGGCGCCCGACUGACGCUGAGGCACGAAAGCGUGGGGAUCGAACAGGAUUAGAUACCCCAGUAGUC
rnacentral:rRNA from 1 species